UAAAUCAAUACUCUGUAAGUUCUUUUUUGUAUUGUAUUAUACAAAAUGGGUUAGUAGUUACACGUAUAAACAAACCGAAAAGCAACAGAAAGCACUGAAGACUCCAUUUUGCAUGAAAUCGAAGCAUCUAGAGCUCAUCUGACCUUAUAUUUGGCCAAUCCCACAUGGUUUCAGAACAAAGAUUCAUGGCAUAUUUCAUGAUUGGGUGUAUUUUGUUUCAGUGUACUCAAGAUUGGAAUGGAAAUACUACAAAUGGUUGGUUAAGGAGGCCUUGAACGAGAAAGAAGGUGUAUGCAAUAUAAUUGCGAAGUACAUGGAAGACAAAUACCAGGAUGAGUUGCUAGUGAAUGUCAGAAGAAUUCUUGGCUUUUAAUUGGAGAAUUCUAUAACAAAGGGAGAGCAAUAAUUUAUUUGUAAUGGCGGAUAAUCUAAUAAGAUGAGAUAGAGUUUUCUUUUCUUUUCAAUCUUAAUUUUGUGGUUGAAAGUCACUUUGAAAAUACCAAAUUACCCUUUGUAGAGUAGACAAUCCAUUA